GGUGAACGCUGGCGGCGUGCCUAAUACAUGCAAGUCGAGCGAAUGGAUUAAGAGCUUGCUCUUAUGAAGUUAGCGGCGGACGGGUGAGUAACACGUGGGUAACCUGCCCAUAAGACUGGGAUAACUCCGGGAAACCGGGGCUAAUACCGGAUAAUAUUUUGAACUGCAUGGUUCAAAAUUGAAAGGCGGCUUCGGCUGUCACUUAUGGAUGGACCCGCGUCGCAUUAGCUAGUUGGUGAGGUAACGGCUCACCAAGGCAACGAUGCGUAGCCGACCUGAGAGGGUGAUCGGCCACACUGGGACUGAGACACGGCCCAGAAUCCUACGGGAGGCAGCAGUAGGGAAUCUUCCGCAAUGGACGAAAGUCUGACGGAGCAACGCCGCGUGAGUGAUGAAGGCUUUCGGGUCGUAAAACUCUGUUGUUAGGGAAGAACAAGUGCUAGUUGAAUAAGCUGGCACCUUGACGGUACCUAACCAGAAAGCCACGGCUAACUACGUGCCAGCAGCCGCGGUAA
rnacentral:rRNA from 1 species